AACAUGAAGCUGCUGCUUAUUAUUCUGUGCGUUGCAUUGGUUGCUGCUGCUCCAAAAGCUAAAUCACACUCGAAGCGAUUGUCGUGUCAACUUGGCCUGUGUGACAGCAGUUGUUUCGUCCAAGGCCAAACUGGUGGUGGUUGCUGUGGGACAUCUGGGCCAUGUUACAACAUUUGCUAUUGCUAUGGGAGUGGCUAUGAAUAUCGCUGUGGUCAUUGCGAUCUCUAAUCAAAGCGAACUAUACAUGCAUAAUACUAUGAACUGAAAUUUUCGCUUUUAUGUUGCAAUAAUUCGUUGCUAAAAUAUAUUCUUCAAGAUAAA